UGAGUUCACAAUUGUAACACUUGGAGGUUCACGGCUGUUUCUUACUGAGAAGAGAGCACAGACUCUGUAAAACUCCCUCCUUGUCCGUCUCACAUUACUUUCAAGAAACGCAGCUUCAGCUCCAGAUCAUCAAAGCCCCACAAAAACUGCGAAGGAAGAAGGCACUCGAAGCUGAACACAAACUGCUAGAUUCAGAGGACACUGCCCCAGCUGUGAGUUAAUGACCACUAAGGAUUACAGGCUAUAUGAACAGGAACAGCUUCUUUCCUUUUUUCCCUGCUGGCAUGUGAGCUGUAAAAGGGACUAACAAGG
rnacentral:lncRNA from 1 species